CGGCCUGAGGUCGGACGAGGCUACCCGCUGAAUUUAAGCAUAUUACUAAGCGGAGGAAAAGAAACUAACGAGGAUUCCCUCAGUAACGGCGAGUGAAGCGGGACGAGCCCAGCGCCGAAUCCGGCCGCUUAUGGAGCGGACGGAAUUGUGGCGUAUGGAAUUCGCUUCGAGCGCGGACCGGCUGCCCACGUCCUUCUGAUCGAGGCUUCAUCCAUAGCGGGGUGUCAGGCCCUUGGCGGCGGCUGGCCCGGGCUCUCGGUGUC
rnacentral:ncRNA from 1 species